rnacentral:rRNA from 1 species
AGCGAACGCUGGCGGCGUGGAUUAGGCAUGCAAGUCGUGCGGAAAGGCUCCUUCGGGAGUACUCGAGCGGCGUAAGGGAGAGUAACGCGUGGAUAUCUACCCCCUGGACUGGGAUAGCGGCGGGAAACUGCCGGUAAUACCAGAUAAUGUCUGCGGACCAAAGGUGUGAUUCCGCCGGGGGAUGAGUUCGCGUCCUAUUAGCUAGUUGGUAGGGUAAUGGCCUACCAAGGCAAAGAUGGGUACCGGGUGUGAGAGCAUGGCCCGGCUCACUGGGACUGGGACACUGACCAGACACCUACGGGUGGCUGCAGUCGGGAAUCUUCGGCAAUGGGCGCAAGCCUGACCGAGCGACGCCGCGUGCGGGAUGAAGGCCUUCGGGUUGUAAACCGCUGUCAGAGGGGAGGAAAUGCGUGGGAGUGCUCUCUCACGUUUGACCUAUCCUCAGAGGAAGUACGGGCUAAGUUCGUGCCAGCAGCCGCGGUAACAC